AUUGAACGCUGGCGGCAGGCCUAACACAUGCAAGUCGAACGGUAGCACAGAGAGCUUGCUCUUGGGUGACGAGUGGCGGACGGGUGAGUAAUGUCUGGGAAACUGCCCGAUGGAGGGGGAUAACUACUGGAAACGGUAGCUAAUACCGCAUAACGUCUUCGGACCAAAGUGGGGGACCUUCGGGCCUCACACCAUCGGAUGUGCCCAGAUGGGAUUAGCUAGUAGGUGGGGUAAAGGCUCACCUCGGCGACGAUCCCUAGCUGGUCUGAGAGGAUGACCAGCCACACAGGAACUGAGACACGGUCCAGACUCCUACGGGAGGCAGCAGUGGGGAAUAUUGCACAAUGGGCGAAAGCCUGAUGCAGCCAUGCCGCGUGUAUGAAGAAGGCCUUCGGGCUGUAAAGUACUUUCAGCGGGGAGGAAGGCGUUAAGGUUAAUAACCUUGGCGAUUGACGUUACCCGCAGAAGAAGCACCGGCUAACUCCGUGCCAGCAGCCGCAGUAA
rnacentral:rRNA from 1 species